rnacentral:rRNA from 1 species
AGUGAACGCUGGCGGUAGGCCUAACACAUGCAAGUCGAACGGCAGCACAGUAAGAGCUUGCUCUUACGGGUGGCGAGUGGCGGACGGGUGAGGAAUACAUCGGAAUCUACUUUUUCGUGGGGGAUAACGUAGGGAAACUUACGCUAAUACCGCAUACGACCUACGGGUGAAAGCAGGGGAUCUUCGGACCUUGCGCGAUUGAAUGAGCCGAUGUCGGAUUAGCUAGUUGGCGGGGUAAAGGCCCACCAAGGCGACGAUCCGUAGCUGGUCUGAGAGGAUGAUCAGCAACACUGGAACUGAGAAACGGUCCAGACUCCUACGGGAGGCAGCAGUGGGGAAUAUUGGACAAUGGGCGCAAGCCUGAUCCAGCCAUACCGCGUGGGUGAAGAAGGCCUUCGGGUUGUAAAGCCCUUUUGUUGGGAAAGAAAAGCAGCAGGUUAAUACCCCGCUGUUCUGACGGUACCCAAAGAAUAAGCACCGGCUAACUUCGUG